GAUGAGUGAAAAGCCCUUCGUCGGAUUGAUUCGGGUUUUAAUCGGUCAGAGGAAAUUGAGAGAGAGUGAGAGAGAAUAUUAUAUGCAUUCUUCAUCAUCCCCCACCUCCUCUUCUGCUAUCAUUUCCAUCUCCUCAUCCUCUUCUUCUUCCUUCACUUCCUGCAGCGAACAAAUUGCCCUGUCUCGUCUCCGUUAGAGGAUUCUCUUGUGAGCAGAAGGUCAUUUUGGUGCGCCUCUACAUGAGGCAUACAAUGUAGCUCUGUAUCAUCCCCUCAUAUAGUAUAGAGAAGGCAGACAGGAUGGGGCCAGGCACUAUCUUUUUCUUAGAUUCUAUACAAACAACAAAAACCCCUCAACACCUUACCUUCAAUUCCCUGUUCUUUCCAUUAUUUUCCUAGUACUUUCUCACCCUACUUUAUCAUCAGAAGAAAAAAGAAAGGCGAAGAAGAAGAAGCAGGAGAGUCCUCAUGGAGCAUUGAUGGUGUCGUUCUUGGCGAUCUUCGUCGUCGGGGGAAAUACUGUAAUGGGUAUCAUCCAAUGUGUACGUAUUUGUGUAUAUACGGAAUGAUGGAUGUAUGAUCAUAUGACAUUAGUUCGUUGGUGAUGAAUUGUAAUUUUCAUUGUUCCUCUUCUAUAAUGUGACUUUGCUUCUUCGAUUGAUUUUCUUUCUCUUCACCUUUCUAUAGUUCAAAUAUUUUUUAUGUGUAUGAAAUGGGUGGUGGGUAGGAAAUCCCUGGGUGUUUUUCGACCUAAGCCACUCUCUUUUCCCUCUUUUCUCGUUCCUUUUGGUGAUAAAAGUAAUUACAUCUGAACAUUCAUACAUCUUAACCGUCAAAUAAGAGAAAGAAGAGGAAAUCCAAUAUAAAAAGUCCACAAUCUUUGUUUUUUUUUUUUUUUUUUACCUGCAUUAGAGGAGGAGAUUCGAUUUCUUGAUGGCUUCAAACUUUUAUCUUGGUUUGGGUAACUAUAGCAUAUUAUGUGUUUGAUGAUUUUUCCCUUUGAUGUUUUAAGUUUAAUGACGUACUUUAGGACUACUUGUGGGGUUCUGCAUUUGAAGUCUCUCUCAUUGACGGGUAAUGGGCGAUAGCUGUUACUGAAAAGGAGUAUUGGACUAAUUUUUACUUGGUGUGUUUCUAUCUUCUGAGUUCUGAUUCUAGGACUUAUAUUGCUGUGCAAGCUAAGCUUGCAAUGGGGGCUGAAGCUAUUCGAGAUGGCUAUCUUGUGGCUCGCCGCUUUCAUAUUCCUUGCUUGAAGAAUUGUUCGGACUCUAUGUGUGUUAUCUCUGCUCUUGGUCACUCAACCUGCUCCUUGGAUUGGGCGACGCAACUAUUGUGGAUGAUCUUUCAUUUUCGCCUGUUGUUUUCAAUUUACUCUUGUAUGUUCCUUGACAUUCUCGGGGUAAGGCUGCAUAGUUCUUGACUCCUAGACUUAAGGCUGCAUAGUUCUUGACUCCUAGACUUUGCACAUGCGGGAGUCUCGUGCACCAGGUAAUGUUUACCCCAAGUGUCGAUUAGUGUCGAUGUAGCGCCUUCGCUCCAACAGUCCUCGCAAUUGUUGAAGGUUUUGGUUGUCGGACGACGACUAUGAUUUUGGGUGGUAUUCAUUUUCCUCUUCAUAUUCCAUCGCCGGUAGAGAAUUGGAUUUCUCAGAGAAAGCCAGAGAGAGAGAUAUUAUUACGGUGAAGGCUUAAGGGUUUACCUUUGUCGAUGGUGAGGACUGAGGAGGGGUUUUUGGAGGCUGCAAAGAGGUAUCUCAGGGCUAGAGAGGUUCACGAACUGUUGGUGAACCGCCUUGCAGUCCUUGAGCCCCCUUCCGAAGCAGAGGCAUUUGGUGUUUAGGUCUAAAGGAACCCCUGACUUAUCAGCAGAAGCCCAAACGCCAACAAUCCGUAAAUCAUUGUCGCAUCAGUGUCGUACACAGAAUGUCCGCUCGUCGUACUCAUCCGGCAUCGCUUGACUCUUCGUCAGAGGAAGAAUGAAGAGAAUCACACAAUCAAAGGGGGGAGGGGAAAAGAAGUUAGAAGCAUACUGUCUUCUUUGGAGAUUCUGUUGUUUCGAUGGUGGAGGUUAUGGAAGAAAGGAGGAUGAGGCUCGGAGUGAAAGGGGAAGGAGGAAGAUGGCCCUCGGUGGUGGAUGAGGAUUCAUGUUUCAGCUGCUACUAUCUUCCAUGGCUUUUUCUUUCAACUGAUGUUUUGGGUUUGAUGGAUUUUUAUUGGGUUUUUAACAAUUAUGGUGAACCAAAGUCGUUUCUAGAAACGACGAAACAAGUCAUACUUGU